rnacentral:rRNA from 1 species
UGGGCACUCUAAGGAGACUGCCGGUGACAAACCGGAGGAAGGUGGGGAUGACGUCAAGUCAUCAUGCCCCUUACGGCCAGGGCUACACACGUGCUACAAUGGUCGGUACAAAGGGUAGCCAAGCCGCGAGGUGGAGCUAAUCCCAUAAAACCGAUCGUAGUCCGGAUCGCAGUCUGCAACUCGACUGCGUGAAGUCGGAAUCGCUAGUAAUCGUGAAUCAGAAUGUCACGGUGAAUACGUUCCCGGGCCUUGUACACACCGCCCGUCACACCAU